CCGAGAAGCUCUACGGCACUUUGCGUCUGAGUUCCUUGGUAUUACCAUUCAGAAUGGGAAGCACAAUCCGGUAGAGGAUGCUCGUGCUGCAAUGAUGCUAUGCCUGAAGAAUUGUAAGAGAUGGGAGAUCAAUAUCAUCAUAAGACCAAAUCAAACUCCAAAAGAAGCAGAAGAAACAGAAGCCAAAGAAGAAACCCAGACAAGACGACGCUUCUUUACAAGACGGUCCUACUUCGACUGCAUAUAUCCUAGCAUAUCUCACGAUUUGACCGAAUUCCAUAUGAUCCGCAGAAGCUGACCAAGCAAAAUUAGUAAACACUGCGAACGGCCUGAUUUUAACAAUUAUUAUCAUUAUUCAUUUGUUUGGAGACCUGAAAGAUGAUGCAGGACCAUCGAAGAAGAGGUCAACUUCUUCUUCGUAUUCUUCUCGCAGUUCUCGUUCCUCACUUGGUGAAGACUUCGAAAAGCUUUCUGAUGGGCUAACAAGUGGCAGCCUCGAUCAACUGUAACACAUUAGAAAGAGAGAGAGACAGAUAUGUUUGGUUACCAUAUCUUCCUCAUCUUCAUAUGCAUCAGAUGCCCUCAAACUACUGGCAUCGGGUAUGAUAACCACCUCAGACUAGCUUGGGUCGUGAGAAUGUCGCAGGUAAUGAAUUCUCUCUCAUCUCGGGUCCUCUUCAGUGUUUUUAAAUAAUUUUUUCUUGAUUCCAUUUACACGUCUGCAGUUUUUCUCUUGAAAACUGGAAACCAGCUCUGAUGUCCUGUUUGUUCUGCAUUUUUCUUGGAGAUUUGAAACCGAGGAUGGGAAAGCUAAGCAUACGUCCUCAGCCACAGGAACAGAAGACACAUGACUAGACUGUCUCUCUGAUCCUUGCCCAUGUUCCUCGGACUACACAGCUGUAACAGCUCUCGUAGUCCCUCGGAACCCAUGAAGAAACCCGAGAAGGAAUCAUCCCAGGAGGUUCUGCUCCGUGUCCCCAACAAAACCUGCCCUCCCGUGGAGAAGAAUAUUGACAGAAGAAAAUCCUCGUCCAAGAAGGCUGUUCAGGAUUGCUUUUCCUCCUCCUCUUCUUCUUCUUCUUCUUCUUCUUCUUCUUGUGAUGACGAUCAAAGUGGUCACCUUCAUUCGCCAUCCUCGGCUGAGAAAACGACUCUCGAGGUGUGGAACGAAGCAGUUAGAGGGAAAGGUUGUGAUGGAAAUGAGAGAGAUCGAGUCAAGGAGGAGAUCCCCGCGUCCCGUUCUUCCAAGGGCUCUGUCUCUACCGCCAAGUACAGGAAGGGAAGAGGUGGGGAUUGAUGAAAGACUACCGACAAACUCUCAUCCUAGAAUGAGCAAAUCCAACAGGCAGGACUCUCUCAACCUCUCCGAUUUCUUGCCACGGCAACACGGUUAAGAGGCAACGCUGCGAUCACGAAUUACUGAACUUUACUGAGCAUAAUAUUUUCAUACUCAGUCAAUGAUAUAUAACACUUUCGGCUGCAGAACAUUUCAUUCUU